CGGAGCCCGACCGGCUGGGUCGGAGCCGCCGCGUCCUGCUGCUCUUCGCCAGGCGUCCCGCCCCUCCUCGGCCUGGGCCGCGGCUGCCUGCGAGCCCCCAGCGCCUUCCCCGCUGCGCCCUCCUCGCCGGCAGCGCCUCGCCUCUGGGCGGCACGGCGGCCACCCGUGGCACCGAACGGCUCGGCGGCCUACCGGGCCGCUGGCUGACACCACGGGCACCCCGAGCCAGGGCCGCCACCCCGGAGCGCGCCUGGAGCUGGGCCUUCCGCAGCACAUGGGGCGAAACCUCGCCCUAGCCUCCAAAAGCGAUCCCAAACCCUAAUCCAGCAUCCUGGUGGUCUCACAAACCAGCUAAUGGACCCGGGGUGUCAGAAGAAUAAAAAUGUGCAUCCCAUAGUUAUUCCAUCACAGUCUGCAAAUUUGUCCAAGAUUUAAGGAAAAUGAUCUGGUUUAACCUCCUUGCUGAAAAUCUACCCCAGGUGUUAAAGAAAACGGACACUUCUCAACUCAUUUCAGUUUUCACACAAGCGGAGAAGACUGAACUAAUCUCCUCUUUGCAGCGCAACACUACGCAAAGUAACUGCUGUUUACAGCCUUAUUUUCAGUAAGAAGCACUAACUAGCCUUUUAGGAAGAACAGUCUCAGCACUUUAGACAAAAUAUUUCUGCCUCAUCUUAAAAGAUAACCAGACACCUGAAAUAAAAACAAUACUAUGCAUAUUCACAGCUGAAAGUUUGUCCGUUUAAAUGCAACAUGAACCCAGGCCUCAGGUUUUGCAUCUGUGACUUCGACAAGGAAACAGCACAGAGGAAGCAAAUCUCCCGAAGGCUCAUUAACAGCUACACAAACAGGUGUUUGCUGCAUACGGGCAUUUGAAGGUUUUACUAACAAAGACCAGGAUAGCGCAGCAAGCCAGCUCCCUGGCUAGGUCUGGAGACAAAAGCCUUACCACAGCUUUCCAGGUUCAGCAACCUACAACGAGGGGAUGGCAUGCUGGUGAGGAGCUGUAAGGUUGUCAGAGCUGUUAGAGCUGCCUAAGAACACGGAAAAAGAAAUUUGCUUUUAGUCUCUUGUAAGUCUCAGCCAAAGCUCAAUCUGAAGAUAGAAGGGGGAAAAUUCAACUUAAACAACUAUGGUUUAUAUUUGUGUAACAUUUUUAUACACAAGGGAGCCGCAGGCUCUUGACAAAACCUUACUGCAGUGACUUCCAACAUUUUGUUGUUGGUGUGAACUGAGCUAUGACUGCACAUUAGUGAGAAAUUACAUCAACCAUUAUAGGAAAGUUUUGUACUGCUUAUGCACAAGUUUAAUUGUCCAUGAUGAAUUGCCUGAUACAAAAGGACAUAUAAAGGGGACAGAAAAAAAUAUUUUCUUAUAAAAGCAAUUAUCUUUUCUGCAAAUGUUCACAUUUCUUAGAAAAUAAAAAUAAAAUUAUUAUAUGGGCAACCCCCCCCAAACAUUAUUCAUAUAGACUAUUGGUGUAAAAGCAAGUUAAAUAAUAUUCUCCAAGACUGACUCGUUAAAAUUAUAAACCUGGAAGGCCAAGCCACUUGCCAGUAAAAUACUAAUUUUUUCUUUCAAUUAAGAAAGUAUUUAAAAGUUUGCCUUAAAGAGUAUGUUUUCCUCCAUGGCCACCAAUGACUCAUGAUAUCAAAACACUUCUCACAUAGUUCAUUAUUGCACAGCUGAAACAGAAAUCAUUAAUUGCCUCCUCCUGAUUAUUUUCAAUAUAGCAAUGAAACCAUAGCAAGUAAGUAUAUUAGUAAACACAGAAGUAUAAUACAAUCCAACAGUUGACUAUGACAAGGCACCCUCAUUCCCAGCUACUUUUUGCUUAAGGAAAGGCUCGAUUGGCUGCAAUUGUAGGAGUUGACACAAGACAGGAGCAGAGUACUGACACUUACAAGUGACUAAAUAUAAUCCUUCUUCCCCCCAGCUCAGUGUGCUAGAGAUCUAUUACGUUGGUAUGAUAUCAGCACAGUCUUAUACACCACAAAAUU